CUAAAGAUAAAAGAUCGACUCAUCGUGCAAUCAUCAAGACUCGAAGUUGUCCCCAUUAUAGGGAUGGGUGGUAUAGGCAAGACCACACUGGCUAGAAGAGUUUAUGAUGAUUCCUUGAUUGCAUACCAUUUUUAUGUUCGAGCAUGGACAAAUGUAUCUCAAGAAUUUGACACUAGAGAAAUUUUUCUUGGUAUUCUUCGCUCCAUUGGCGUGGUCAAGGAUGAAGUAGAAAGAAACAGUACUAAUGAGCAAUUGGCUGAAAGAGUUUAUCGAAGUUUAAAAGGGAUGAAGUAUCUUAUUGUCCUAGAUGAUAUGUGGUCCAUCGAGGCUUGGAAGCAUGUGAGGAGAUCUUUUCCGGAUGAUCAUAAUGGAAGUCGAAUCUUGUUGACCACGAGGCUGGUAGAUGUUGCAUCUUGUGCUUGCUCUGGCAAUUCCCUUCACGAGAUGCGCUUUCUGAGUGUGGAGGAAAGCUGGAUUCUUUUACGCGAUAAGGUCUUUGGGAAUGGUAGUUACCCUCCGGAAUUGGAGAAAAUUGGGAGAUACAUUGUCCGUCAGUGUCAAGGGUUGCCACUUGCAGUUGUUGCAAUUGGUGGACUACUUUCCAAGAUGAGCAAGGAAACAAGUUCUUGGGAGAAAGUUGCAGAAAAGGUAGGAUCACUUAUGACAAGUGACACUAUGGAUUGCUUGAACAUACUUUCUUUGAGCUACAACCACUUGCCUCAGUACUUGAAAACAUGCUUCCUUUAUAUGGGAGUUUUUGCAGAAAGUCGUGAGAUCCCGGUCUGGAAGUUAAUAAAGUUAUGGAUUGCUGAGGGCUUCGUCAAGAAAGUUAAUCAUAAAAAAUCUAGAAGAUGUGGCAGAGGAAAAUUUGAGGGAGUUGGUUGAUAGAAGUUUGGUUUUGGUGGGGAGAGAUACCUCCCUGGGAAAAAUCAAGACUUGUAAGAUGCAUGAUCUCGUUCGAGAUAUGUGUUUGAGAGAAUCCCAAUAUGAGAAUUUUUUACACUUCAAAACGAGGUAUGACAAAGAUAAUCUUCUAGAAAACAUUAAUUGUCUACGUCGUAUAGUUGAUUUCAUUAAUUAUGGAUCCAGUGGAAUUUCUAUAUUUAUUCCACUCGCACGUUCUGUUUUCUUCAAACAUGAAUACAACUUUUGUUCCCCCGCACGAUUAAGGUUUAGAUUGCUUAGGAUAUUAGAUGUUUGUUUUCCAUGUUCUUUCUCCUGUAGUCAGUCCAUAUCAGAACUUGUUCAUUUGAGGUAUCUUGCUUGUCCGUCCUUCGGUGGCCUUGUGCAAUCAAUAUGCAAGCUUCGGAAUUUACAGAACUUAGUUAUUCAUGAUGUAAGCUUAUUUGCUUCACUUAUAACAACCCAGUCCCUAGCAUGGGAAGUUUUGAAUAUGCCUCAACUAAGACAUAUCCAUACAAAAAACUUUAGUCUCUUCAUACCCCGACCUACAUCCCUAAUUGCUGAGAGGGAGAAUCACUUACUAACAAUAACCGGAUUGAUUCCCUCAUCUUGUAAUGAUGAGGUGUUUCUAAGAAUUCCAAAUUUGAAGAAGUUGGGAAUUUUAAUUGAUGUUGCUUCAUACCCUAUUAGGAAUUGCCUUGAUAAUCUUGUACAUUUAACUCAGCUUGAGAAGCUCAAAGUUGUGGUCAGAGAGCCUUUUCUGCUAAUUUUUACGCCGAUUAUCGAAGGUUGGAUGGACAUUCCACAUUGUGACAAUUUCCCACCAAACCUUAAGAAGUUAACAUUGUGCAGAACAAACCUACAAUGGGAAGACAUGAACAUUCUCAGAAAAUUACCUAAUCUUGAGGUGCUCAAACUUAAAGAUUAUGCCUUUCGCGGACUAACUUGGAAACUAAGCGAUGUAGACGAAGAUGGAUUCUUGAAGCUAAAGUUUUUACUUCUUGAGAGCUUGCAUCUGAUGCAAUGGGAAGCAACAAGUUAUCAUUUUCCAAGCCUUGAGCACUUUGUCCUAACAAAUUGCCGGUACUUGGAAAAAAUUCCUUUCGACUUUGCGGAGAUUCAGACACUACAGCUGAUUGAACUACACGAAUGUAUGCGUUCUGUUCUUGUUUCAGCAGAGCAAAUACAAGAGGAGCAACAAAGCUUUGGAAAUGAUGACCUCAUUAUCCGUGCGAACUAUAUACUUGAGUAAACAUUAAUCAAAAAGGUAUACCCUUUUUUUAAAAGCAUAAAGAUUUUUGAUUAGUUAGAUUCCUUCGAAAUCUGAAAAUGAUUUUUAUAUUCAUCAUUUUCACUUAUUUAUACUAUAAAAGGUGCUAAUUACAAUUGGUUUGUGCAUUGCAGACGUAACGACUAGCUAAAUGGAAAGUACCAUAAGGUAUAUACACUCAAGCAAAUUUGCAGAAGUUCAUGUUAUUUCCUGUCUGUGUAUUUCGAUUUCCUUUUAUCAAAUUCUGGGAAGUAAGUUAGUGAAAUAGUCAUGUUUCAACUUGUUUGGGACUGAAACGUAGUUUAGUGAAUCUGACAUCUAUAUACAUUCAUCAAAAAGAAUGCAUUACCUUUGGAAUGUGUAUAUAGAAUAACUUCUCUUUUUAUUGAAAUUGAUUCUAUAAAUUAGUUCUCCUCAACAAAACCUUUUCGACCAUACCAAACACACCCUUAGUGAUUCUUUGUUUUGCUCGUCUUAACUCUUAUCUAUACUUUUAACAUUUUUUUGUCUUUUACUUGCUUCUUUUGUUUACAAUAAUGUUUUAUCAUUUUCAAUAUGUUGACUUUUAGUCAAUUUUAUUUUUUCUUAAUUCAAAACAAUAUAAUAAAAGAGACGUUGAAAAAUUCCAAAUAUGUGAAAAAUCUUCUCUUUAUUUUGCUUUGCUCUUUCGAUCUUAAUUUAUAUAACAUAUUUCGCUUUUUAGUAUGUCUCAAAACAAAUUACUACAUUUUCUAAUUUGAAUAUAUAUUAAAAUUGUGGAUAUCAUAUUUUAGUUAUGAUGUUAUACUUUAGUUAAAGAAUUUUUCUUUUUUAAUUGUUCGCUUUAGCAAAUCAAGAUCAUAAAAUUAUUAAUUGAUUUUUUAAUAAUUGUAGCGUCUAAGUCCGUUUGUAUGCGCCAACUAAUUCUAUGAUAUACUAUAUCUAUUAUUCCUCACCAACCAUGCAUAAAGUAACUUUGUUAUCAAAGCUUGAACUGAUAAGAAGAAAUCAUCACGCGCGUGUUCUUAGUUAGCUAUAUCUAGAAUUUGAAUUUAAAAUCCCAUAAUUUUCAACACAUGACUUCAUUGACCAUCUUUCAAAAAUAACAUAAGAUCUACAUUUAUUCUAUCUUUUCUGAUCUGGUAAAUGAAAUUAUACUGAAUACGUUAUUGUGGUUGUUAUAUUGUCUUUGUGUAUCUAAAGAGAUAUGGAUGUGAGUGGGAACAUCCCAUGUGCAUAUACUCAAGAAAAGGAGAUUGAAAACAAUGUGUAUGAAUUGUGCCUUGGUACAGAAAAAAUAUGGAAUGGUCCCUCAUAACGAUAAUGAGUGAAAAAUGUGAGUUAUAUUAUUUUAGAAAAAUAAAAUAGGAAUCUUUUAGGUGUUGAAUUACAAUUGGUUCUUGUCUAUCUUUUUCGUCUUUUCCUUUUUUAAAGUAGAAUAUAAAAAAAAUAAUACUAAAAAUAGAAAGUUAAUUACCAAAAAGAGAAAUACCAAAAUAAACAUACAAAUUAAUUCUAGAUUAAGAAAAUUAAAAUACCAUAAUACUAAACUUAUUUAUUGAAACCUAAUUUGAAAAGGAUGAAAAUUAUUCUUUCUUUUGAAAAUGAAAUAAAAUUGAUAUUCUAAAAUAUGAUUCUAUUUUUGUAAUUUUUCAAUUUCAACAAAUAAAACUUAUCAAACUAAAACAAAGAUUAAAAAAAAAAACAACAACAUAGCAGUGAAUUUCCAAAAGUGGGUAUAAGAAGGGUAGGAUAUAAGAAGUGUACUGUAACCAACGUAGAAUUGAAAGGAAAAUAACGUCAAGAAAUAUCAAGAUACAUAAAGUAAAUGAAACAACAUGCAAUGGUGAAAAGUAAAGAAUAAGAUAGUAUGCGACUAUGUCUACUAAUCAACAUUUACUAAAUAAAGAGAAGACGAGAAGAGGAAGUUAAUCCCCCGCUUCUCCCACAAAGAAAUAUGACAACAAUAAUCGACUAUUUACUAUUCUUGUACUAUAAUCUUCGAUCUUCAUAUCUUCUUAUUUAGGUCAUGUAUUUCGAAGAUGUUUCAUGUCAUAUCUAAAUUAUCUCUUCUCAAUUCCUCUUCGUCUUAUUUGUACCUCUCAUAAAAUCGGUUACAAAUCAAUCUCUUCACACCUUCUUAUUUGUACACUCAUUCCUGCAUCUCUCCAUAUAUGUUCGAACUAUUUCUAUCUCGUUUUCCUCAUCUUAAUCCUUACUAAAAAAUGUUAAUCAGAUUCCAAUGUGGAUAUCAAAUAUCGAACACCGAAUAAAGAUGAAAAACAAGAAAAAAAUCCAAAGAUGCUGUUUUUAUUCCUGCCACAUAGAUUAUUGGGUCAGCCAUAAAAAUAUCUUCGUUAGCUGGCUGAUGACGUGGACUUCCUCUGGUGGCAGGUUUAGGUCUCUAGAUAUUUUCACCUCAAAAUAUCCUUCAACCACGUGUCGACCAAACUUUCAUUUUUGCCAUCCAAACACCUAUAAACUACCGAAAUGCCAUUGACUAUCAAUACUAGUUUGUAUUUUUUAUUUCUAAAUUCUAAUACUAUACUAUUAGUUCUUACUAUUUUUUGAAAAGUUACACUUUUAAGAUCCACUUUUUUUUAUAUAUUGAUAGCGUUAUUAAAUAUUUAUGAAAUAAAAAAAAAAUUAUUACUCUUUUUUGAAUUAAUUAAAAGGAAAAAGGUAUUGUAUAUAUUAAAAUAGAGCGAAUAUUAUUUUAUCAUGAUUAUUAUUUACAAAAUAUAGUAAGUAAUUGUUCGAUUUUGGAUUCAAAUACCUUCUUUUAUUUCUUUAGUAUGUUUUCCAUUGAUUACUACUUACUUAGUAUAAGUCGCUAGAAGGUGACACGGCUUGAACAACAUGUCUACUUCAGAAGCCAGGGAUAAUUUUAUCUUUCUUCGUGCAAUUACACAUGGCAUUGAUUGAUAAAAAUAUGAAAGACUAGAUUUACCCUUACUCCUCUAUUUUUUUUUUGGCAAUUAACAAAUUUUAUUAAUUACCAUAACCAUGAGAAAUUAUUUUAGAUUUAACCCUUGUCAAAGACAAAAUCCAUCAAAACAAUGUCACAACUAUCAACUAAAUGUGAUAUCUAAUGUGAAUUGUAAAAUUUUUGAACCAUCGAGUCUUUAAUUGCAUAUUACGCUUGAAGCUAUUAGGUCAAUGACAUAUAUUUGUCUGAAUGCCACGCAUUAUAUUGCAUCGCCGCUAAAAUGCUUAAAGAAACUAUCAACUAAAUAUAGACAUAGCAACAACUAUAGCCUUUAAUAUGCAUUUUUGUGCACUCUUAAUUUUCAUAUCAUUAAAUCCAAAAUAUAUACCUAAAACGAGGAAUCAAUUAUACAUAGUACUAGAACUAGAAUACUUAUUCUUAGGGCCACUUAAAUAUAUUUUUAAGUAGCUAGAACAGCUAAUUAACCACUAUUAUAAUGCUAUGUUCCUUAAUCCUAGUAUAUAAUUCAACUUUAAAUAUAAUCAGUAGGUCAAGUGUGAUAAUGACAUCCAUAAUUAUCGUUUAUCACACUCCAAUUUAAUAAUAAAAUAAUAAAUUAACAUUGAAGCAUAACUAUGGCCUAUGGGUUCUCAAUACAUGAAUAUUCUCUCAAACAGGUAUAUAAUUUUUUUAUAAAUAGUUCUACUUUAAAGCAUAGUUACAAAACGUAAAUAUAAUUUAACAUAACUAUAAUUAUUGUAUCAGGUAAAAGAAUUGUAUCAUGCAGAUAUCAAUUAUAUCGACAACUAAUUAUAUUCAAACAACAAGUAUCAUCCGUAUCAGACGGAUAUCAACGCAUACUAUAUCAAUUGAUAAGUUCAAUCUUUAUGUUUCUAUCAACAGAAUUCAUUAUACUUUUAAAAUUACGAAUUCAAAUAUUUUAAUAUUAAAACACACACGUCUAUGCAUGAUAUCAGAAAUACUAGGUUCGUAUUAAUCCAAUUCUUACAUCACCCCCCCCCCCACACACACACACAAUAAAAAUAUCUUACUUUCGGUGUGAACUAUGAAUUAAAUUUCAAAAAAUAACAAUUCUAAAAAAGAUUAUUUAAUUUUGUAAACAAUAAUAGUUUCAAAUUCCAUAGCAGAAACUCCAGUACAUUGUCAUGGAGUAAAACUUGUAAAAACAACAACAUAUCUAGUGUAAUCUCACAAGUGAAGACUAGGGUGAUAGGAUGUGAACAAACCUUAUCCUUACCUUUGUGGUGUAGAGAGAUGUUGUUUCCGAUAGACCCUCGACUCAACAAUAAAGAAAAGAAUUUGAAGCAUGGUAGCAAGAAAAUAUGACAGCAAAACAGCAAGAUACAAAUCAAAUGAAGCAACAAAGUGCAACAAUACUCGGCUACCUACUAACUUUCUAAUCUAAUCCUCAACUUUCACUCCUUCCUAUCUAGGGUCAUAUCCGGAGUAAAACUUGUAGAUUUUGAAAUUACCUGACUAUAGUUAUAUUUCGAAGAUAUGUCCGAAAAGUGGCUCUCUAGUAUGAAUGUAGUUUGGGCAAGUUGUAUGACUUUGGGUCUCUGAAACUAUUCCAACUUGCUUUUUGGUACAAGUCUUAAAUACAAUUUGGGUCUCAAUCUGACAAAUAAUUCAAUGAGCAAAACAAGAAUUCUCACUUCUACCCUUCCACCAACCCUACCAUUACUCUAUUGGAGAGAAGCAGUCACAAAGAGAAGACUUCUCUUUACAAACCCUUAAAAGUCUUGCAUUCCCAUCCAUUACACUGCCUUCUUCUUUCAUAAAGAAUUGGUUUUGAGAAUCUAAAUCAACAACUCAGAACUUCCUCCUACUGUCCUGUUUAGCAAGAAACUAACAAACAGCGAUAUGGCGGCGUAUGCUGCUGUGACUUCACUUUUGCAUACCCUGGACAGUCUAUCUCAAACUGAUAUUCUUUACAAAAAAAAGCAAACUGAAGUCCUCAGUGACAAGUACACCUUCCUUAAAACCUUUCUUGAGGAUUUUACUAAUAUUUUCCAUGAAGAUGUAAAGAUGAAGCAUCUCGAAAGGAUAAUCCAAGAAGCUGCUAAUGGAGUGGAAGAUACUAUUGACUCACAUGUAUAUGAUAGACAUGUUUUAGUACAAAGCAAGCAAGUACGAAGUAAGGCUGAUGCAAUUUUCCAUCAAAACUUGGAAUAUGCAAUUGAGGAAAUUGGUUUGAUACAAAAAGAGGUUAUGAAAAAGAUAAAGGUCAACAAGUUCAACAGCAAAAUCUCUCAUUCAAGAGAUACUUCAUCUCAGAUCCCUUUGGAUCAAAAAGAUAUAAUCGUUGGACUAGAUGAAGAUUUACUAAGGAUAAAAGAUCGACUCAUCGUGCAAUCAUCAAGACUCGAAGUUGUCCCUAUUAUAGGGAUGGGUGGUAUUGGCAAGACCACACUGGCUAGAAGAGUUUAUGAUGAUUCCUUGAUUGCAUACCAUUUUUAUGUCCGAGCAUGGACAAAUGUAUCUCAAGAAUUUGACACCAGAGAAAUUUUUCUUGGUAUUCUUCGCUCCAUUGGCGCAGUCAACGAUGAAGUAGAAAGAAACAGUACUAAUGAGCAAUUGGCUGAAAGAGUUUAUCGAAGUUUAAAAGGGAGGAAGUAUCUUAUUGUCCUAGAUGAUAUGUGGUCCAUCGAGGCUUGGCAGCAUGUGAGGAGAUCAUUUCCAGAUGAUCAUAAUGGAAGUCGAAUCGUGUUGACCACAAGGCUUGCAGAUGUUGCAUCUUGUGCUUGCUCUGUCAAUUCCCUUCACCAGAUGCGCUUUCUGAGCAUGGAGGAAAGCUGGACUCUUUUACGCGAUAAGGUCUUUGGGAACGGUAGUUACUCUCCGGAAUUGGAGAAAAUUGGGAGAUACAUUGUCCAUCAGUGUCAAGGGUUGCCACUUGCAGUUGUUGCAAUUGGUGGACUACUUUCCAAGAUGAGCAAGGAAACAAGUUCUUGGGAGAAUGUUGCAGAAAAGGUAGGAUCGCUUAUGACCAGUGACACUACGGAUUGCUUGAACAUACUUUCUUUGAGCUACAACCACUUGCCUCAGUACUUGAAAGCAUGCUUCCUUUAUAUGGGAGUUUUUGCAGAAAUCCGUGAGAUCCCGGUCUGGAAGUUAAUAAAGUUAUGGAUUGCUGAGGGCUUCGUCAAGAAAGUUAAUCAUAAAAAUCUAGAAGAUGUGGCAGAGGAAAAUUUGAGGGAGUUAGUUGAUAGAAGUUUGGUUUUGGUGGGGAAGCAUACUUCCCUACGAAAAAUCAAGACUUGUAAGAUGCAUGAUCUCGUUCGAGAUAUGUGUUUGAGAGAAGCCAAAUAUGAGAAUUUUAUACACUUCAAAACAAGGUAUGACCAUGAUGACCUUCUAGAAAACAUUAGUUGUCUACGUCGUGUAGCUGAUUUCCAUAAGUAUACAGACAGUGAACUUUCUAAACUUAUGCCACACACACGUUCUGUUUUCUUCAAAUAUCCAUACUUUUUUGUUUCCUCUCACAGUCGAGCUUUAGAUUACUUAGGAUAUUAGAUGUUUGCUUUGAUCCUUUUUUUAACUGUUCUCCGUCCAUAUCCGAAUUGAUUCAUUUGAGGUAUCUUGCUUGUCCGUCCUUCGAUGGCCUUGUGCAGUCAAUAUGCAAGCUUCGGAAUUUACAGAACUUAGUUAUUCAUGAUUCAUGUCCAUUUGGUUUAUGUAUGUGGGAAGUUGUGAAUAUGCCUCAACUAAGACAUAUCCAUACAAAAAAGUUUAUUCUUUUCAUACCCCCACCUACAUCACUAAUUGCUGUGAGGGAGAAUCAUUUACAAACGUUAACCGGAUUGAUUUCCUCAUCUUGUAAUGAAGAGGUGUUUCUAAGAAUUCCAAAUUUGAAGAAGUUGGGAAUAUUAAUUGAUGUUGUUUCAGACACUAUUCAGAAGUGUUAUUGUCUUGAUAAUCUUGUACAUUUAACUCAGCUUGAGAAGCUCAAAGUUGAGUGCGAUUAUCUGCAGGAGUUAAUUUGGAUCUUAGGAGCUCGAAGCUUAGGUUGGGUGGGCCUUCCUUUGCUACACAUUCCACAUUGUGAAAAUUUCCCACCAAACCUUAAGAAGUUAACAUUGUGCAGAACGUACCUACAAUGGGAAGACAUGAACAUUCUCAGAAAAUUACCUAAUCUUGAGGUGCUCAAACUUAAACAUAAUGCCUUUGACGGACUAAUUUGGAUACUAAGCGAUGAAGACGAAGAUGGAUUCUUGAAGCUAAAGUUUUUACUUCUUAAGCGCAUGAGUCUGAAGCAAUGGGAAGCAACAAGUUAUCAUUUUCCAAGCCUUGAGCACUUAGUCCUAAAAGAUUGCCGGAACUUGGAACAAAUUCCUUUCGACUUUGCGGAGAUUCAGACACUACAGCUGAUUGAACUACACGAAUGUAUGCGUUCUGUUCUUGUUUCAGCAGAGCAAAUACAAGCGGAGCAACAAAGCUUGGGAAAUGAUGACCUCAUUAUUCAUGCGAACUAUAUAUGUGAGUAAACAUUAAUCAAAAAGGUAUACAUUUCUUAAAAGCAUAAAUUUUUUGAUUAGCUAGAUUCGUUCGAAAUCUGAAAAUGUUUUUAUAUUCAUCAUUUUCACUUAUUUAUACUAUAAAAGGUGCUAAUUACAAUUGGUUUGUGCAUUGAAGACGUAACGACUAGCUGAUGGAGAGUACCAAAAGGUAUAUAUACUCAAGCAAAUUUGCAGAAGUUCAUAAUCUUUCCUGUCUGUGUAUUUCAAUUUCCUUUUUUUCAAAUUCAGGGAAGUAAGUUAGUGAAAUAGUCAUGUUUCGACUUGUUUAGGACUGAGACUUAGUUUAGUGAAUCUGAUAUCUAUAUACAUUCAUCAGAAAGAAUACAUUACCUUUGGAAUGUGUAUAUAGUUGAAUAACUUCUCUUUUUAUUGAAAUUGAUUCUAUAAAUCAGUUCUCCUCAACAAAACCUUUUUCGUCCAUUACCAAACACACCCUUAGUGUUUCUUUGUUUUGCUCGUCUUAACUCUUAUCUAUACUUUAACAUUUUUGUGUUUUACUUGCUUCUUUUGUUUACAAUAAUGUUUUAUCAUUUUGAAUAUGUUGACUUUUAGUCAAUUUUAUUUUUCUUUAGUUCAAAACAAUAUAAUAAAAGAGGCGUUGAAAAAUUCCAAAUACGUGAAACGUAAUCUUCUCUUUAUUUUGCUUUGCUCUUUCGAUCUUAAUUUAUAUAACGUAUUUCGCUUUUUAGUAUGUCUCAAAACAAAUUUACUACAUUUUUCUAAUUUGAAUAUAUAUUAAAAUUGUGGAUAUCAUAUUUUAGUCAUGAUGUUAUACUUUAGUUAAAGAAUAUUUCUUUUUACUUGUUCACUUUAGCAAAUCAAGAUCAUAAAAUUAUUAAUUGAUUUUUUUAUAAUUGUAGCGUCUAAGUCCGUUUGUAUGCGCACCGACUAAUUCUAUGAUAUACUAUAUCUAUUAUUCCUCACCAACCAUGCAUAAAGUAACUUUGUUAUCAAAGCUUGAACUGAUAAGAAGAAAUCAUCACGUGUUCUUAAUUAGCUAUAUCUAGAAUUUGAAUUUAAAAUCCCAUAAUUUUCAACACAUGACUUCAUUGACCAUCUUUCAAAAACAACAUAAGAUCUACAUUUAUUCUAUCUUUUCUUCCUGAUAAAUGAAAUUACACAAAAUACGUUGCGGUUGUUAUAUUGUCUUUGUGUAUCUAAAGUGAUAUGGGUGUGAGUGGGAACAUCCCAUGAGCAUAUGCUCAAGAAAAGGAUAUUGAAAACAAUGUGUAUGAAUUGUGCCCAAAUUAAAGUCAAUUCACUAUGCAUUUUCUUUAGAAAGAAAUGAAGGGUACAAACAUGUUUUUUUAAUAUUCAAGUUGGAAUAAACAACACAAUAUAAUCAAACUGAGAAAUGAUAUUCAAUAUACUUUUGCAGGCAUCCAGCAAGUUGGAAUAGUUUAAAGGUAAAAUGCAUAAGUACCCCCAGCUUAUGUUCAAAAUCCCUGAGACAUACCUAACAUUUACUAAGGUCCUAUUACUCUCUUGAACUUAUUUUAUAUAUAAUUUUCUACCCCUUUUCAGCUUACAUGGCACUAUCUUGUGGGUCCAGCGCGUGUUGUCAAUUUUUCCAAGGAUAGUGCCACGUAGGCCGAAAAGGGGUAAAGAAUUAUAUAUAAAAUAAGUUUAGGGGUAAUAGGACCUUAGUAAAGGUUAGGUGUGUCUUAGAAAUUUUGGACAUAGGCUGGGGGUACCUUAUGCAUUUCCCCUAGUAUAAAUCAGAUGAGUUCAAAAAGUUGGCACCAUACCGGGUGCAAUUCCGCAAGUAGGGUCUCGGAGGUUAAAAUGUACGCAACCUUAUGAAGGUAGACACACUAUUUUAAGUAGACUCUCGGCUCAAGUAACGCUUAGAAAGAAAAUAUAGUAGGAAGAAGUCAUGCUAAAAAUAACGCAGGAGAGAAUAGUAACAAGAUGUUAAAUAAUGUGGAGCCCAAAUGUAAUUUUCUAACUUUUUUUCUUUUUGUAUUUCUUUCCACAAAAAUAUUGAACUUUGAACUUCACACAUAAAAUCAAUGUUAAAUUUGUCUUACCUUCCCCUCCAAAAUAACCUCUUUAAAAAUGACACAAAUGAAGAAAUUGCACUGAUCCAAAUGAGGAAAAUCAGUUGAAAAGCUUGGAUCUUCCACUGAUGUAAAAAAAAAAUUGAGUCCCCUUUUCCUCUUUUAGUGUAAAGUUCAAAUCUUUGUACUGAUAAUCAGUUUUGAUUGGUUUUUAAAAAAAAAAAAUUAACCCCCUUUUCCUCUUUCAGUUUAAAGCUCAAAUCUUUUUACUGAUAAUCAUUUUAUUUUUUUGCAGAGUUAUGGAGAGCAACACUUAAGAGGAUUGCAAGAGUAACUUAUUUUCCCCCAUAGUACAGUUUCCUCUCUUUUUUUCUCAAUACAUUGCAUUUUUGUUAUUGUUAUUGUUGUUGUUGUUGUGGGUUAGUACAUAAAUGUUGAUCUUUAUUGUGCUUAAUUAUUAUUUCAGAAAGUCACGCUUCUUCUUGAUUUCAAUUUUUUUCAACAAAGAAAGUGACCUUCUGACAAUAAUAACUAUUAGUUGAAUGACCAUCUUAGAAAGUGACAUUUCAAUUUUUUUCGACAAAGAAAGUGACAUUACCUAACCAUAGUUAUUUUUCAAAGAUAUGAUCAAAAAGUGGCUCAUUACGGUAUGAAUGUAGUUUGGGCAAGUUGUAUGACUUUGGGACUCAUUUUAAAAAACUAUUCCAACUUGCCUUUUGGUACAAGUCUUAAAUACCAUUGACUUCAAUCAAAACUCUCUUAUAGAGAAACAGACACAAAGAGAAGACUUCUCUUUACAUAGCCUAACAAGUCUUGCAUUCCCAUCCAUUACACUGCCUUAUCCGAUAGACCCUCGACACAACAAUAAAGAAAAGAAUUUGAAGCAUGGUAGCAAGAAAAUAUGACAGCAAAACAGCAAGAUACAAAUCAAAUGAAGCAACAAGUAGUAAUGCACAUCGAAGAAAAAGAAACAAAGUGCAACAAUAUUGCUACCUACUAACCUUCUAAUGUAAUCCUCAACUUUCACUCCUUCCUACCUAGGGUCAUAUCCGGAGUAAAACUUGUAGAUUUUGAAAUUACCUGACUAUAGUUAUUUUUAGAAGAUAUGUCCGAAAGUGUCUCUCUAGUAUGAAUGUAGUUUGGGCAUGGGUCUCUGACAAACUAUUCCAACUUGCUUUUUGGUACAAGUCUUUAAAUACAAUUUGAGUCUCAAUCUGACAAAUAAUUCAAUGAGCAAAACAAGAAUUCUCACUUCUACCCUUCCACCAACCCCACCAUUACUCUCUUGGAGAGAAACAGACACAAAGAGAAGACUUCUCUUUACAAAACCUAAAAAGUCUAGCAUUCCCAUCCAUUACAUUGCCUUCUUCUUUCAUAAAGAAUUGGUUUUGAACAUCUAAAUCAAGAACUCAGAACUUCCUCCUAUUGUCCUGUAUAGUGAGAAACUAACAAACAGCGAUAUGGCGGCGUAUGCUGCUGUGACUUCACUUUUGCAAACCCUGGAUCAUCUAUCUCAAACUCAUACAUCACAUUCUCUUCAUUACAAAAAAGAGCAAACUGAAGUCCUCAGUGAGAAGUACACCUUCCUUAAAACCUUUCUUGAGGAUUUUACUAAUAUUUUCCAUGAAGAUGUAAUGAUGAAGCAUCUCGAAAGGAUGAUCCAAGAAGCUGCUAAUGGAGUGGAAGAUACUAUUGACUCACAUGUAUAUGAUAGACAUGUUUUAGUACAAAGCAAGCGAGUACGAAGAAAGGCUAAUACAACUUUCCAUCAAAACUUGGAAUAUGCAAUUGAGGAAAUUGGUUUGAUACAAAAAGAGGUUAUGAAAAAGAUAAAAGGUCAACAAGUUCAACAGUAAAAAUCUCUCAUUCAAGAGAUACUUCAUCUCAGAUCCCUUUGGAUCAAUGAGAUGUAAUCAUUGGACUGGAUGAAGACUUGCUAAAGAUAAAAGAUCGACUCAUCGUGCAAUCAUCAAGACUCGAAGUUGUCUCCAUUAUAGGGAUGGGUGGUAUUGGCAAGACCACACUUGCUAGAAGAGUUUAUGAUGAUUCCUUGAUUGCAUACCAUUUUUAUGUUCGAGCAUGGACAAAUGUAUCUCAAGAAUUUGACACUAGAGAAAUUUUUCUUGGUAUUCUUCGCUCCAUUGGCGUGGUCAACGAUGAAGUAGAAAGAAGCAGUACUACUGAGCAAUUGGCUGAAAGAGUUUAUCGAAGUUUAAAAGGGAGGAAGUAUCUUAUUGUCCUAGAUGAUAUGUGGUCUAUCGAGGCUUGGCAGCAUGUGAGGAGAUCAUUUCCAGAUGAUCAUAAUGGAAGUCGAAUCGUGUUGACCACAAGGCUUGUAGAUGUUGCCUCUUGUGCUUGCUCUGGCAAUUCCCUUCACCAGAUGCG
rnacentral:lncRNA from 1 species